rnacentral:rRNA from 1 species
GACGAAGGGGGCUAGCGUUGUUCGGAAUUACUGGGCGUAAAGCGCGUGCAGGCGGCCUUGCAAGUCGGACGUGAAAUCCCACGGCUCAACCGUGGAAGUGCAUUCGAAACUGCGAGGCUGGAGUCCUGGAGAGGAAAGUGGAAUACUCGGUGUAGAGGUGAAAUGCGUAGAUAUCGGGAGGAAUACCAGUGGCGAAGGCGGCUUCUUGGCCUGUUCUUGACGCUGAGGCGCGAAAGCUGGGGGAGCAAACGGG